GCCCUCGUAGCUCAGCUGGAUAGAGCGGCGGACUUCUAAUCCGUAGGUCGCAGGUUCGAAUCCUGCCGGGGGCG
rnacentral:tRNA from 1 species